CUCUCCCACACCUGAAAGCUGCCUCCUAAAAUUCUUUGUGUAUGUAGGAAUCUCAUGGCGACCUAAUACAUGUAUGGAAUACAGGCCGGAUUGUAGUCGAGUGGAUAAGUGGAGAGUAUGAUUAGGCUCCCAUAGUCCAAAAUAUCGGACACUGAGAGAGAUUUGUUUACACUUCUAUUGCAUGUAUCAGUCUUUUCUUGUUCAUUAAGUACCUGUUUUCGGCUUAGUCCUUGUUUUCUCCCUUUCUCAAAAUGAAAUGCCUCUCUGCUACAUUGAAUAGCAUCUAGAAGUAAGGGAAAAGCAGUACGACAUGAAGGCUUAUCUUGACUUCUUCACUGUAAGUCUAAAGUUCAUCCAAUAAUUAUGUUGAUGUCUUCAUUUGAUAUUAUCUAAAACAUCAAAUUGUUGGAGCAAAUUCUGAUUGUGCCUGUACAUGUUAAAUUUUAUUUCAGAAGCCCACUGCUACAACGCCUGCAGUUUCCAAUGUAUUGGUGUAAGUUGCCCAAACCGCCACUUACUAUUGCGUAAAUCCUCUAGAGCAUUUUCGGUACACAAUAAUGCACCAUUUUAACUUUUCUUUAUUAGUACAACUUGAUACUCAGUAGCCCACCACAUAGAACAAGUCAAUAGAGAACUUGAUUGGAGGAUAAAAUACAUUAGAUAUUAACUUCUUUUCCAUUUUAAUAUUGACUAGUACAUUGCAGCCCCUUACCAAACAAUCUAUUAGAGCACAUUUGGAACAUUAGUAUUGGACAAAGCUACACACGACAACAAUCAAGAUUUUAAACUUCUCUUUCUAAUAUUUUCGAGUAUUGUGCAGUCUGUCUUACCAAACAAACCAUUUUAAUGUUAUAUUUGUGACAAUAGGCUAUUUCAGAACUUAAUAUUUUGAUUGUUUAGAUACAUAGCAUCUGCAGACAAGAAGCUCAACAAGAACUACUUGGGACCUGCUUCAUUUGAAGAAAUUGCAAAGUAUGUAUUUUAUUUCUCUGAGACUUAUUUUGCAUUUUGUACAAGAUGUUCUGUAAGCCUCUGUCAAAAGUAAUUUGGAUGUCAGCUCCAAUUAUCCUAGAAGAUGUUCUACUAAGCUUAAAAGAAAGUUAAACUAAAUUUCAAGCAAAUUUUCGUUACAAACUUGUUUAAUUACUUCACUUUUUCUUAAAAGUUGUAAAAGUUACUCUAUAAAGUAGGGGUUACUUUCAAAAUAAGUAAAUUAUUUCCAACUUCCACGACAGAAAAAUAAUAUAUUUUGAAAAUUGCUUAUUUGCAUAUAAGUCACUUAUAUGUAAUAUUUUUAAGCAUAGACAAACAUCCACUCAUUCACCUCUCUAAUUCUUAAGUCAUGGACAAAACGAACAUCAAAUAGUAAUAUUACAUUUUUCUCUAUAUAUUUUGAGAUAACAUUCUAUCUAUCAUUACAUUUUCAAAUAGGCAUUAUCGUGGUUGAAAAAAAUCUUAUUUUGAUUCAUAUUUUCGUAAAAUGAAUAUUAGUCAAGAUCAACAUUUAGGCACUAUAUCGAUCAUGAAAAAUCCAUGCAAACUCUGUAAAACGUAAUAUUCGGACAUUUUGUUGAUAUCUUACUAAUCUUGAUUUUUGUAGUCAGAUUGUUCACGCAGAAGGCCCCUCAGGACCAAACAGAGAUUAUCUUUUUAAACUUGAAACUGCACUUAUUCAAAUAGGUGAAGUCAUAUAAGUUCUUCUGAAUAUGACAAAACUUGUGCCAGCUACCUUCCCAUUUCCUUCUUUGUCUGUAUUUACAAGCAUGUUUGGUACAUUGGAUUAGAAUGUAUUAGAGACUACACUAAGUGAAUUGUCCCCAACCCUUUAUUUUCUUUUCUAGUCUAGGGAAGGGAGGGGAGAGGAUGAGGUUUGGGGUGGAGUGGGGUGGGGUCGGUCGAGUGGAACCUGUUGGGUGGUUGCAGGUUGGGCUAGGCAAGAAAUAUGACUGUUUUUUCUAUUUGUAUGUAUAUAUUUUUAAUCUAAGGGUAUAAUUGUCUUUUCGUGGCAACUUAACAAAUACUUGGACGAACCCAUUAGCAUCGACCACGAGACAAGUGCCUGGGAGUGGAAGGUUGGGGAAAUAUUAGAAAGACAAAAGUUGAAGACAAAAGUGCAAAACGGGUUUAAGGUUAAGAACAACGUUUGGAACACUUAAGUAUAAUUUAUCACCUAUCUCUGGUCUGUGAUCAUGUUGAGUCUUGUCCAAUCUAUCAAUGUACCCAUACGCCUGGCUCAUUUUACAAGGUAGAUUGUAUAGUAAGAGACUAAGCCCUUGUUUGAACCCCAUUUUUGUGAAGAAAAUGAAUUUUUGAAUAGUGUAUUGAUGGAAAAUGUGUGUUUAAAAAAUAAGGAAAAAAUUUUGAUUUGCGAAUAACAUUAUUUUAUUGAAGAGUGUGUUGUUGAAAUAAUGUCAAAUCACUGUUGAAUAAUGUAUUUUGGUUGAAAAAUGAGGCUCAAACAAGGGCUAAGUGUGUGUUUAAGUCACAUUAUUAUAAAAGAAUGCAUUUUAAAAAAGUAGGUUGAUAGAGAAUGUGUGGUUGAAAAAUAAGGAAAAAUUUUGGAUUUGCGUGUAAUAUUAUUUUAUUGAAGAAUAUGUAAUUGAAAUGAUAUCAAAUUACUAAUUAAAAAUAUAUUUUUUUGAAAAAAUGCGGCUCAAACAUGGCUUAAAUAUUGUGUCUCGUUCUAUCUGAUCUUAUAUGGUGCUAACUCCAAAACAUGACUUAUGUACUUUUGCUUAUCGUAUUUCAUUAUUUGCACUCUGCUCAAUCAAUGUUACUGUACAGGAUGUGAAGACGAACAUGUCAAUGAUCUUGCCGACGAAGUGAGGCGUAUAGUGUUAAAAAGAGGGACUGACCACUUGAUGAAGACUGGGGUUCAUUGAGCAUCGCAUGGACAUUGUUUUGGUAAUUCUUUAAAGCCACAAUGAAGCUUUAUUCGAAGCUCAGGCUAUUGAGAUAAUGAAAUAUAAAUUGACUUCUCUUUAUACUGUUUCUGCUUAUUUUCAUGCACGACUAAGUGUAAAUGUUAUGUACUAAUGAAGAAAAAGUGAAUGCAUGACUAAUAUGGUUCACGCUUUUAUUACUUCUUUUAUCGGAACUUGUAUGUCCUUUGCAUUAACGUUUGAUGUUAUUUUAAAUAUUAUUGUUUUCGUUUGAAUGUAUGGUUGAAAAUGAUCUUUAAAAAAAUCUUUUCCAAACAAACCCUCAAUAAUAUAAGUUAAUAAACUCGGCAAUUGAAGAACUCUAACCCAUGAUUAUUCAUUGUCAAAAUAAAUUUCUAUUUCCAAACUAUAAUUUCUUUAAUGUAUUGACUCAAUUUGCUGCUAAGCAAUUAUACUAUACCUUGAACACAUUUGUUACAUCAUAUUAAAUAGGAUUGCACGAAGAAUAAAUAAAUUGUUACCUUAUUGUUUAAUUAAUGGCGUUCAUUAGAGAUCAAUGAAAGUCAAUAUGUAAUCUCCAAAGGUCACCAUCGUUUUUAUUUAUUAAAAAUGUUUGUAGUCAACCCAUUUUUUGGGAUCCACAAGUAUAACACACUUAUCCACAACUUAUUCCUAUUUAUUUACAAUUUAUACAAUUUAUGAAUACUUGCCAAAAAUGCCACAUUCUAUAUGUCUUCUUGAACUAAAUAUGAUUAAGAAAUAUGAGUAAAUGAGAUGUUUGUUCAAUAAUUCUCUUUCAAUUAAAUUUAAAAAAAAAAAAAAGUUGAUCGUAAACAAAGAAAAGAAACAUGUGAGACACUUAUCCAUUUACCUUUGACAUGUAAACGGAACGUAUAUAAUUAUGAGAACGAGGUAACUGAGCUCUAUCAUACCCUAAUGUUCAAUUUAGCACCAUUUUGGCCCUCCAUUUUUUCAAAUUAAAAUGGGUGGAAUAAUAUUUUUUUUUUAAAAAUGAGUGGUUGAAAAAGAAAGAAAAGUUUUCGAUUUAAGUGUAAUAUUAUUUUAUGAAAAAUUAUGUGAUUGAAAAUAGGAUAGAGAAAAAUAAAAUUUAAUUUAAUGAGAGCUAAAUGGGGGCUUAAUGUGUGAGGACGACAUAUUUGAAUGAAAUUAAAUAUUAAAGACAAUAGAAAUGUUUAAUCAAUUAAUGUCCUAUCUAUCAUAUAAACACAAGCCAACAAAUUUCAACGCCAUUAAUGAAAAAAGUACAUGAAAUGUUUAGUCAUGCAUGCUUCUCCAAUCUUACAUGCAAUUUUUUUUUUCAUGCCUAUGAGAUAUUUUUGAUAAAGUAGGUUAAACAGUAAUGAGUGAUAUAAAAUUGACAUGUUAUCAAACCAUAAACUUCACAUCCAUGAAUCUUGUAGACUGGAGUGAUUAUGUUGAUUAUGGGAUAAGAAUCAGAGUAUCAUCAUACACUAUAAAACAAUUAUAAUUCCUGAAAAUCUUAGUUAUUGUCAAUACUUGUACCCUACAAUAUGUGUUGCUCUGAUUGCCUCUACGGUGACUUUUCUAGCUCUAAUGCCCUUUCUGACGAAAUUAUGGCUAAGCAAUUAUAAUGCCCUUUCGACAUUUUUUUUUGAAUUGUAUGGGGCAUUUUCUUAAGUGAAACUUGAAGAAUAUAGAAUAAUAUAGUUUGUACGAAGUGGGGAUCAUCUACAUCAAUAUUAUUUGAGUAUUUGAAAUUUUGUAUAUUCAAAAUACGAAAUUAUCAAUAAAGUCCUUUUCAAAGAUUCCUUUACGAAUAAUUGCAGCAGAAGCUCCAAAUCUUUGAAAUAAUAGUAGACUUCCCAAAACCUUUGUUUAUUGCAGUCGUCAACCUCAAUAUUUUCAAAUGCUGCAUGGGAAGCCCUUUUGAACGAUUUUCAUCAAUUGAUUAAAAAAAUGAUUUUGACCACAUUUUAACAAUUUUUAAAGGGACGGAAUGGUAACUUUACAUUAAAAAAAAUUAAAAUAUAAAAUUGGUUUUCUUUUUCCCUAACCCACCCCAAAUCCGCCCCCACCCCACAGUCGGAUUUGGAAAAUUGAAGCACUAAAACCAAACCACAAAUGUAGCCCUCCUUUCAGAGUUGAUCCCUUGGAAUUUUCAGAUAAUAGUGGGGUAGGGGAUGGGUUAGGAAAGAAGAAGAUCAAUUUUAUUUCUUGAUUUUUGAUUUUAAUGUAAAGUUACCAUUCUCCCUCUUUAAAAUUGUUAACAUGUGGUCAAAAUCAUUUUUUUGGUCAAUUGACGAAAUUUUGAAUGAAAACCGUCCAAAAGGGUCUACCAUACAACGUUUGAAAGGUUAGGGUGACAGUAAUGACAAAUCAAAGGUUUAGAGAAAGUUUGCUAGUGUUUCAAAACUUUGAAACUUUUACUACAAUUAUCCCAUUUCUUUAUGCAAGGGCUUUAAAGUGUGGCUAAGAAUUCCCUGUACAUGUAACAAAAACUUUAUCAAAAAUAAAAACUCAAUGAAAAAGAAAAGAAAACGAAGACACAUCCCUCGAAUUAUUAGUUGAGAAUUCUAUAUCGUCAAGGACCACUUUAUUAAAAUCUUUUCCUUUAGAGAAAAUGAUAUCAAAGUGAGUGGAGAAAGAUGGAAAAACUCGUUAUAAAUUUGUACAAAUAUAUUAAUUCCCACAAAAAAAAAAAAAAAAAUAGUGCUAGCGAUGAGGGAAAUGAUCAAUUGGUACGCCGUAAUUAAAAACUCAAUAGUGUUUGUAAUGUAAUUAUUGACCUCGUUAUUAUGUAAUAUUAAACUUCUAUUGAAUGCAAAUAAUUUAUGUAUACUUUGGAUUUAUGUGUAAGGACAAGAUAACUAUUGGACUUUGCUACUACGAUUUGAUUUAUUUAUUAAAAAUAAAAAUAAAAAUCCAAUCAAAAAAAUUAGUCAUGUACCUAAUAAACUAGAUAAAUAUGCAUGGCAUUUUCAAGAAGAGUGUCCACUCAUCAUCCCACAAUCCUACAUGUAUCACAUAGCACUAAACCCUAAUAAACAUUUGGUGUUCAUUUUGCAAAAUAUAAUAAAAAUAAUUUAAUAUGAAUGGUUCAACAUAGUAUAAAAGCAAUAAAAAAUUUGAACUCAAGUCGCAUGGGCUAUAUAGGAAAAUUGUGCACAUAUAUAUUCAAUAAAAAAAGGGAAAAAUUCAUAACUUAGGUGUAUUGUUUACACCAAUUCAAUUUUCAAAUCCUAAGUUUAAAAGUGCAAAAAUCAGGUAUUUAUUUAUUAAUUAAAAAUAUUUUAUUAAUUAAAUGUAAUAAGGUCAAUGAUACAAAAUUUUAUAUCACAAUUUAUUUACUAGUCACAUAUCAUUAAAUUAAUUAGUCACAGGUUAUUUCGAGGUCAUAAAUAAAUUUUUUUAUAGAUCAUCUAAAAAUUUAUAGGUCACAAUUUAUUGUGGUAGUCACAAAUCUAAAAAUUUAUAGGUCACAUAUUUUCAAAUUUGUUGAUGACAGUUAAAUAUUUGGUCACAUAAGUCGAAUAGUGGUCACAGACCAUCGCGAUUAACACUAUCACAUCGCUACUGCCAUCACGACCACUUGUGACCACCCUCACCCCGUUACCGUCGCCAAGGUCACAUGAUCACAGAUAACUAAAUAGUUGGUCACACUUCUCAAAUAAUGGUCACAAACCACUACCACCACCACCACCACCACCACUAUCGCAUCGUCAAUGACGUCACGGGCACUUGCAACCAUCCUCAGCUCGUUAUCGAUGCCAACACCAACACCAACAAAAACAAAAAUCAAGGCAACUACAACCAAUAAUCACCACCUUCGUCACUAGAAACCACCACAAGUGCCACCACCAAAAACCACAAUAAUACAUAACCAACGUCUCAACCACCAACAAGACCACCGCCGUAAACCACACAAUAUCACUGCACCACCAUCCAAACACUAUCACCGCCAUCACCAUUCAGAUCUGAACACACCACGUCACACCACUACAACCACCACCAAAAGAUUAAUAUUCACACCAUUUAGACACCGACAUAUCAAUAUUCACACGGCAUCACCACCACAUCCACUACCACUCCAAAAAUCAACAAACACCUAACACCGCACCAAUAAACUUCCACACACUGAACCAUCUUGUGUGUCGCCGCAUAGCAAAGCCACGACAACGCCGCGACUUUGACGCUCAUAUUGACUCGCAACGGCACUCAGAUUGACGCUCAACAGCCAUGUCAUCAACGCUUGUCACGGCACCGACACUCGUUGUGACAACAGCAUUCAUCGCGACGAGUUAAGUGGCAAUCAGAUUUAGCAGCGGCCAAAGUUGGUAGAGAGAAUGGAGAGAAGAAAGGGGAGAAGUGAAUUAGGGUUUGGAAUUGAAUUAAUAAAUUAAUACCUGAUUUUUGAUUUAAAAACAUUUGCACUCACAUCUUUAGAUACCAGGAAUCUUGUAAUUUCCUCAUAAAAAAAAAAAGAGCAUGACCACGCGUAUGUACUGUUCUAAAAGUCAUGUAUUAGUGGCACCUAAGUGUCACCAAUGCGCGAUGCGUAGUGGAAAUGCCAAGCCAAGUGGCUUGGCACCUUAUUUAGCGGUCAACGAGAGCGGUCAACAACAAUCGUUGCCGCUAAUGCACGCCUAGGUGUGGUUAACCAAGCCUAGACAAGCAUAAUUAUCUUUUAAUUUUAUUUUUUUAUUUUACAAUUCUUUUAAAUUAAAACUUAAAAGUUGAUUCCUUCAAUUCGUCGAUUCUAAAUUCAAAAUAGUCACUUGAAGUCUAAAACAAAGGAAAUCUCCCAAAAACUCUUAUUUAUUUACUAUUUAAUAUUUACAUUUGGAAAUUAUCUUUUUAUUGAAAACUUUGGAAAAAUGAAUAAAUUUCCUAUAAAUUUGUUUUAGAUGUUUGGUACGUAUUAUUUUUAAUUAUUAAACGAUUUUUCAAUUGAUUAAAAAUUAAAAUAAUUUUAAAAUAUGAAAACAUCUUUUUAUGUUUUUUUACGUCUAUGCCUCGUCUAAGCUCCCCUAACCCAUAGCUUGGCUUCUACGUAUUGCUACGCAUUACGUUUUUUAAAACACUAUGCGUACGUUAAAGGACACGUUUAGAAUUAAUUUCAAAAUAAAUAAUUGUACUGCAUUUAAUAGUUUAAUUUUUUAGAUGAAAUAGUUAACUAAUAACAAAUUAAACUUAGAAAAAUAUUUAACAUGUGGUGGAGAUUCAUGUUAAACUAUUAAUCUUUCUUUUAGGAUUAUUUUAAUUAGUGGAAAGAUUCUAGUUUCUUGAAUUUGAUUCCUAAAGGGGAAUAGAGUUACUGCGCCAAUGCACAAGAAUUAUUCAAUCUCUUUUGCUUUUAUUUUGUGUAUAAAAGCCCAAAACUUCUCAUUUUUGUAUGGUCCAGGCAUUUACAAUUGUGUAUAGAAAAAUUAGAGAAUAGGAAUGGGAGAGCAAUCCGCAUGGGGGAUUACAAGUAUGGCAUUCAAUAAGAUGAAGCCCUAGUUGGCCAUGGUGUCUCUACAAUUUGGCUAUGCCUGAAUGUACAUUAUCACCAUGCUUUCCUUCAAGUUCGGGUUCAACCACUGGAUUCUAAUCGUGGACCAAUACAGUUGCCACGAUGGCUUUUGCGCCUUUCGCAUUUUUCCUCAAAAGGUCAAUACAUCGUCCAUAUAUAUGUGCAUAAGUGUAUGUAAGCCACGCAUGUUAGUUUUAUUUCUCCUUAUAAUAUAAAUUCAUUUCUUCUCUCUGUGUGUGUAACAAUACAACUUGCAUGUCAUUUUGCAAGAAAAUAAGGCCUAAGAUGACACUAUCAGUCAUUCUGAAGAUAAUACUACUUGCUUUUUUGGAGUAUUCCUCUUGAUCACUUCACUUAUUUACUACAAUAUAUCGCUCUUUUGCACCAUCUUACAAGAUUUUCAUCUAAUAGUAUAGUUCAGUCGACCUUAUCUGCAUUAAAUAAACACGAUUAGGCAGUAUAUGUCCAAAAUUUGAGCUUAUUUGUCAAUUUUGUAAUAUUAUCAAGCCCGUGCUUGAUCAAAACUUAAUUCUUGUACUUUUUAGUUAGGAAUGUUAAAAGAAUUAGAUCGAAACAUGUUUGAUUGAAAAUUUUGAUAGAAGUUCCAAAAUGUAAAUUGGUUACAAGUAGGAAAAUUGAAAAUAUAGAAACCAUUAAAAUAAAUUUUUACUUGGUUGCUCUAUAAGAUUGCCAUUUGUUACAUGUGCGCGCUUAUAUUGAGCUUGUCGACCACGUAAAAGUCGAUCAAUGCUUGACGUCAAAUACUUUUGUACAGUGCCAUGUGAUUAAGUAAAUUACAAUGUAUUUAUUAUUUUAUUUAUUUUCUCGUGAUUAAACAAUGGAAAUAACAGAUUAAUUUUUUUAAAGAAUAAAAAAAUAAAGGGUGAAUUUAUUUAUGGAACCACAUUGAUUUCUUCUCCAAUAUCAAAUUUAUCAAUAUGAUGUGAGAGAAUAAAAAUAAAACCCUACUAUAAUUUUCUAACAAACGUGGUGCCGGCAAGGAAAUAACAAAUUUGCCGAAUCAAGAUCGGACGACCGGGUCAACCCGUCAAUACCGGGAAAUCCCAAUCCAACGGCUCAUAUACGUUACGAUAUCCACCGUUGGAUCAUCAACUGACGGCCCAUAUCAAACCAUUGUGGGCUCCAUCAAACCUUUUCCCUAGACAUAUAAAUAACAAUUAUGUAAAACCAUGUCCACUCUGAAGAAUUCUUGAACAAAAUUCUCUCUCACACAGUGGUUUUGUGUGUGGGUUCUGUUGGAAAAAAAUGGUUCAAUGGGUCAACUUUGAGUCCAAAUUUCAGUAGGACCCACCUUUUAAAUAAUACGGGACCUAGUAUAUUCACGUUCUACUCCGCGAGAUGAUUAACGUGAUAUAUUUAUUUAUCGAAAACCAUUUAAAAUUGAAUGAAAUAUUAAGUGUUAAAGUAACCCACAUGAACUAAAGAUUAUGGAAGAAUUUGAUUUGCCAAACACUUAUCCCACAUAGGAAAGUUAGGAAACUUUGGUGUGUUUUAUAAGGUGGAAGUUUGGAAUUAGGUUUGGGCCCCAAGGGGUACCAAUAGUCUUUGGAAGGGGGAAGACCUAUAUCCUAUUGGGUUCGGUCAUAAACCCACACGCGCGCGCCGCUGUCCGACCGGCCGGCUCGGCAUGGCAUGGCACGAGUCCGGUUCGGUGGGGGUCCGGGUCGACCUUUACACUAUAUUAACUUUUUAGACAAAAUUUAUUUAAAAUUUUGGGCCAAAUUGUAAAUAAUCAAAUUCUUGGGUACAAAAUGAAAUUUAAAUUUUGGCUUAUUCCGGGUGUUUUAUUUUCUUUUAACAGUCGACUGUUUCGACUGUUUAUCGACCAUUAACCGACUUAACAGACACGACUUUUAAGAACAGUAUGUCUGUUCGAAUUUUUGAGGUUUGUCUGAAAGGUGAUGACUGUUCGAAUGGCCACGAACAAGUCUAUAAAUAGCCAGCCUUUCUAUCAGAAAAUUUACACCAUUUUCAUUGCAAACUUUCUGUGCUUUGAAUCUCAUUUCCCUCUCUCUCGAUAUUGUCUCGAAGUAAAAAACACUUCGUUGAGUUCGUUGAAACUCCUACAGACUGCAGUGCUGCUUUCGUAGGAGACGAAAAAUUCGUUCUAUCCUGGAAAACGAUUGCUGGACGCCUUUAGCACCAUUGAAGGCAGCAAAUUCGUUUUAAGGACACAUCGUGAAGUCGGUGGGCUCGAAUUACAAUUUUGGAUCCUGUUGAUCAAUUCUUGCAUUCAGGUAAUUCUGUCGGAUUGUUUUCGAAGGAGUGAAUUCAAACUCUAGAAACAACAAUCUUAAAACGAAUUUUAUUUUUUCAAUUAUUAUUUGUUUCUUUUUCUACUCCUUCUUAUCGUUGAUCUUCUGAUUGCAUUCAGAAAUGGAAACUUCUGGUACCACACUCCCGAAUACGACCGGGGAAAAAUCAGAAAAGUUUAAUGGGUCAGAUUUCAAGCGUUGGCAACAAAAAAUGCUUUUUUAUCUGAUGACAUUAAAUCUGGCUAAAUUUCUCAAAGAAAACGCGCUUUCAUAUACUGAGCAAGACAGUGAUGCUGAAAAAUUGGCUGCGCUUGAUGCAUGGAAGCAUUCUGAUUUCUUAUGCAGAAAUUAUGUGCUUAAUGGACUGGAUAACACAUUAUAUAAUGUGUACUGCAAUGCUAAGUCUGCAAAAGAACUGUGGGAAUUUUUGGACACAAAGUACAAAAUCGAAGAUGCCGACACGAAGAAAUUCAUUGUCGGUCGUUUUUUGGAUUAUAAAAUGGUUGACAACAAGACUGUCAUAUCCCAAGUUCAAGAACUUCAGAUCAUACUUACCGACAUCCAUGCCGAAGGAAUGAAACUAAGUGAAUCGUUCCAAGUCGCUGCACUAAUAGAGAAAUUACCACCUUCAUGGAAGGAUUUCAAGAAUUACCUCAAGCACAAGCAAAAGGAAGUGAAACUUGAAGAUAUCAUUGUCCGUUUGAGAAUAGAAGAAGACAAUCGCAAAACGGAAAAAAGGAAUGGUGCAUCUACUUCGAUGAAACCAAAAGCCAACAUUGUAGAAGGAGGCUUCAAGACAAGCAAAAAGAGGAAGCACAAUGGGGAAGGACAAAUUGGUUCUUCAAAAACUGCUAAAAAGUUUAAAGGCAACUGUUACAAUUGUGGCAAGGCAGGACAUCGAUCCAAGGAUUGUCGAAAGCCAAAAAAUGUGAAGGGAAAAACUAACCAGGCCAAUGUAACAGAACAUGAGAACCUCACUGAUAAGGUACAAGACAUGAAUCUUUCUGCGGUCGUCUCUGAAUGCAACUUAAUUGGAAACACUAAGGAGUGGUGGGUAGAUACUGGAGCUACUCGUCACAUAUGCUCAAAUCGCAGGAUGUUCUCUACCUACAAAGCAAUGGAUCAUGAUGAACAUCUUUACAUGGGAAACUCGUCAUCUUCCAAGGUAGAAGGACAUGGGAAGAUAGUGCUGAAAAUGACAAGUGGAAAAGAGCUCACUUUGAAUGAUGUUCUUCAUGUGCCCGAUGUUAGAAAAAACUUGGUAUCUGGUUCUCUACUAAGUAAGAAUGGGUUUAAACUAGUAUUUGUCUCGGACAAAUUUGUACUAUCAAAGAAUGAAAUGUUUGUAGGAAAAGGCUACCUGAAUGAGGGGCUCUUUAAAUUGAAUGUAAUGACCGUUGUACUUCCAAUUAUGAAUAAGAAUAUAUCUUCUUCUUACUUGCUUGAGUCAUUUAACAUUUGGCAUGAACGAUUAGGACAUACAAGUUNNNNNNNNNNNNNNNNNNNNNNNNNNNNNNNNNNNNNNNNNNNNNNNNNNNNNNNNNNNNNNNNNNNNNNNNNNNNNNNNNNNNNNNNNNNNNNNNNNNNNNNNNNNNNNNNNNNNNNNNNNNNNNNNNNNNNNNNNNNNNNNNNNNNNNNNNNNNNNNNNNNNNNNNNNNNNNNNNNNNNNNNNNNNNNNNNNNNNNNNNNNNNNNNNNNNNNNNNNNNNNNNNNNNNNNNNNNNNNNNNNNNNNNNNNNNNNNNNNNNNNNNNNNNNNNNNNNNNNNNNNNNNNNNNNNNNNNNNNNNNNNNNNNNNNNNNNNNNNNNNNNNNNNNNNNNNNNNNNNNNNNNNNNNNNNNNNNNNNNNN
rnacentral:lncRNA from 1 species